rnacentral:rRNA from 1 species
GAGUAACACGUGGGCAACCUGCCUGUAAGACUGGGAUAACUUCGGGAAACCGGAGCUAAUACCGGAUAACACCGAGGACCUCAUGGUCCUUGGUUGAAAGAUGGCUUCGGCUAUCACUUACAGAUGGGCCCGCGGCGCAUUAGCUAGUUGGUGAGGUAACGGCUUACCAAGGCCACGAUGCGUAGCCGACCUGAGAGGGUGAUCGGCCACACUGGGACUGACACACGGCCCAGACUCCUACGGGAGGCAGCAGUAGGGAAUCUUCCGCAAUGGACGAAAGUCUGACGGAGCAACGCCGCGUGAGUGAUGAAGGUUUUCGGAUCGUAAAACUCUGUUGUCAGGGAAGAACAAGUACCGGAGUAACUGCCGGUACCUUGACGGUACCUGACCAGAAAGCCACGGCUAACUACGUGCCAGCAGCCGCGGUAAUACGUAUGUGGCAAGCGUUGUCCGGAAUUAUUGGGCGUAAAGCGCGCGCAGGCGGUUCCUUAAUUCUGAUGUGAAAGCCCCCGGCUCAGCCGGCGAGGGUCAUUGUAAACUGGGGGAACUUGAGUGCAGAAGAGAAGAGUGGAAUUCCACGUGUAUCGGUGAAAUGCGUAGAGAUGUGGAGGAACA